UACGUAGGGUGCAAGCGUUGUCCGGAAUUAUUGGGCGUAAAGAGCUCGCAGGCGGUUUGUUGCGUCGGCUGUGAAAUCCCGAGGCUCAACCUCGGGUCUGCAGUCGAUACGAGCAAACUAGAGUGUUGCAGGGGAGACUGGAAUUCCUGGUGUAGCGGUGAAAUGCGUAGAUAUCAAGAGGAACACCUGAGGUGAAGACGGGUUGCUGGGCUGACACUGACGCUGAGGCGCGAAAGCCAGGGGAGCAAACGGG
rnacentral:rRNA from 1 species